rnacentral:rRNA from 1 species
CCUACGGGCGGCAGCAGUGGGGAAUAUUGCACAAUGGGCGAAAGCCUGAUGCAGCAACGCCGCGUGAAGGAAGAAGGGUUUCGGCUCGUAAACUUCUAUCAACAGGGACGAAAGAAAUGACGUUACCUGCAUAAGAAGCCCCGGUUAACUACGUGCCAGCAGCCGCGGUAAUACGUAGGGGGCAAGCGUUUUCCGGAAUUCCUGGGUGUAAAGGGUGAGUAGGCGGCAUGGUAAGCCAGAUGUGAAAGCCUUGGGCUUAACCCGAGAAGUGCAUUUGGAACUGUUGAGCUAGAGUACAGGAGAGGAAAGCGGAAUUCCUAGUGUAGCGGUGAAAUGCGUAGAUAUUAGGAAGAACACCAGUGGCGAAGGCGGCUUGCUGGACUGAAACUGACGGUGAGGCACGAAAGCGUGGGGAGCGAACAGGAUUAGAUACCCGGGUAGUC